UACGUAGGUGGCAAGCGUUGUCCGGAAUUAUUGGGCGUAAAGCGCUCGCAGGCGGUCCUUUAAGUCUGAUGUGAAAUCUCGCGGCUCAACCGCGAAAGGUCAUUGGAAACUGGGGGACUUGAGUGUAGGAGAGGAAAGUGGAAUUCCACGUGUAGCGGUGAAAUGCGUAGAUAUGUGGAGGAACACCAGUGGCGAAGGCGACUCUCUGGUCUGUAACUGACGCUGAGGUGCGAGAGCGUGGGUAGCGAACAGG
rnacentral:misc_RNA from 1 species